rnacentral:rRNA from 1 species
GACGAACGCUGGCGGCGUGCCUAAUACAUGCAAGUUGAGCGCUGAAGGUUGGUACUUGUACCAACUGGAUGAGCAGCGAACGGGUGAGUAACGCGUGGGGAAUCUGCCUUUGAGCGGGGGACAACAUUUGGAAACGAAUGCUAAUACCGCAUAAAAACUUUAAACACAAGUUUUAAGUUUGAAAGAUGCAAUUGCAUCACUCAAAGAUGAUCCCGCGUUGUAUUAGCUAGUUGGAGAGGUAAAGGCUCACCAAGGCGAUGAUACAUAGCCGACCUGAGAGGGUGAUCGGCCACAUUGGGACUGAGACACGGCCCAAACUCCUACGGGAGGCAGCAGUAGGGAAUCUUCGGCAAUGGACGAAAGUCUGACCGAGCAACGCCGCGUGAGUGAAGAAGGUUUUCGGAUCGUAAAACUCUGUUGGUAGAGAAGAACGUUGGUGAGAGUGGAAAGCUCAUCAAGUGACGGUAACUACCCAGAAGGGGACGGCUAACUACGUG